CAGCAUUUGAAUGCACAGACUCUUUCAACUGCUUUAAAAAUUACUUCUUAAGCUGAGGGCUUUCUGACCCAAUUCCUCACUGCCCUCUCCGAAGUUUUAGAAUUGUCUUCAAGGGCAUCGCCUACUUUUCAAUGGCUCUGAACAGAAGAAUUGUAGUCUAUAGGUGGUGAGGACUGAAAGGCAUUUUAAAUUAAAGAUCCUCUUUAGAAUGAUUCACAAGCUUGAUCUGGCAUCCGCACCACCCAGAGAGUUUGUUACAAUAGACAUUGUUGGGCCCACACUCAGAGUUUCUGAGUCAGCGGGUCCAUGGUGCGAUCUGACCAUUUCAACUUCCAACAAGGUCCCAGGCGAGGCUGAUGCUGCUGGAUCAAACUUUGAGAACCACUGAUCGCUUCUGUAACAAGCACCAGAAACACGGGAAUCUGGAAAACACAGGUUUAGUGCCUGCCCAGGGGUUGCUUCUGGCCAGCGGGGAAGACCAUGUGGCAACAUCAGUGAUCACUCCAGUUAAAAACACACUGGGAAGUUGCAUGACCCAGAGUGUAAUUUUUCAUGCUGAAGCUUGAUGGAUUAAAUAGCUCUGGACUCAGGAGAACUCUGCCCCAACAGGAACAAUAAAAUAAGCCACAGUCAGCGUGUCCCACAGAAGACAAAUGUCUCUCUAGCAGCCAUCCUUCCAGUCGGGCACCCUCAGAUUCACCGUGUGUCUAGAAGGACUUCCAGAACUCAGAGAAGCUGCCAUACUCACAAUCGUAACUUGUUACCGUGAGAAGGGACCGAUUCAAGUCAGCCACAGUAAACAGAGGUCUCUCCAGCACAGGACAGGCACCAACUUCCGCUUGUCCUCUCCCAGAGAGGGGGAACGGAAGGGGGAAGAGAGGGAGAGAAACAUUGAUGCGAAAGAGAAACAUGGAUUGGGUGUUUUUCAUACGCACCCUGACCGGGGAUGAAACCUGCAACCCAGGUAUGUGCCCUGAUCAGGAACUGAACCGGGGAUCUUUCUCUUUGUGGGACAAUGUCCAACUAACUGAGCAGCCCCAGUCAGGGCCCUGGUUCCCACUUUAUGUGAUCCGGGGAGGACUGAACCCCUGACUUAGGAGGUGGAGCAUAUCUGCUUGCCUACAGUGAUUCAGAGAGAAACAUGUGGCUCAUUCAGGUGGAACAGAGAAAUCCCAGGGUCUGUGAGGGGCUUACAGAUGGGAUCCAAACCUGGAGGCUAAAGCCUGGAACCACAGCUCCAUCUCAUCCUCACGGUCCUAAGGUCAGAGGCCAUGCGAGAAUGGAACUGGCACAGAGCAGAAGUCAGGAGGAUGUCAAUCAACCCAUGGACUUAUCACACCCCCACGCCCAAUGUAUUAAUCACAUGAACUAAUUAAUUUCGUUUCCUUUGAGAAAGAGUUAAUUGGGGCCAUUUGUAAUGAAAUGAGCCCUAUUUGAUAGAGAUGGAAUUGCUUUUCCUUGUCUUUGCUUUCAUUUGUUUAUUUGGGAUAGGUUUGAGAGCACCUGCAGUGUGUGAGUCCCAAAAAUGAGAAAAGAAACAUAUUGAGAAAUAUUUCUGGACACUGUUGAGUCCAGCAGGGUCUCCUGGUGAGUUCAGGAAAUACAAGCAGAUAACUUGCAUUGUUUGAAAUUGAGCUUUGGUGACUGACACACAGCUCUUUUUUUCAUAUUGCACCACUCUAACACCCAUGGUUUGUGCCUUUAUUGAUAAAAUAAAGCCUGGAAUCCAGCCUUUAUGGAUAAAACAGACCAUAUUAAGGCCUUCGUUUAUAAUAUCCUCUCAGCGGGAAAGCCAUGCUUUCCUGCUUCAUGAACCCCCUUUCUUGAUGAACUCUUACUCAGUCUCUAAUGCCAAUGUCUGACCCCUAAAUGGGCUCCCUUGUGUUUUCCUGGCAGCCACCUCUUACCUCUCUCAUCACAUGGGCCAUGUGGUCCUGAUUCUCUCCCACUGGACUGCAAGCUGCUUGAAGAUAAGGUUGACUCACAUGCCUUUGUAUUUUUAGCAUACAUCACAGAUCUUGGCACAUGCUGGCUGUGCCGGAUGGCUUUGUUUAUGCCCACCCCCAAGUCCACUCUGCACUUCCUAACUCUGUAUCAUGGAAACUGACCUGUAUAGAUGACAUCAGCAGGAUUUCUUAUCUUGUGGUUUCCACUCAGGUUUGGCUAGUGGGAAGCAGCAAGAGAAUAAAGGGGAGAAAGGGAGGUUGGGAUGCUUCUCCCUUGGCUCUUUCUAGUCAAUCUACCGUGGUUGCCUCUGUCUGUCUACUUAAGGCCACAGGUCCCCUUUCAGGGUUCCAGGUCCCAAUCCCUCUCCUUGGCUCUCCAGACCCAUGAGUGACAAGGGUUCCUCUUUUUAACCCAAGAGUAUUGUACCGUUCUUUGCUGGUUUCCACAACCCCUGGCCACACUUUUAUUAAACUCUCCUUUAAUUCCUAACUCUUUCCUAUUGGAUAGCGACUGUAGGUAGGUAAUCAACAUGUUUUAAAGAAUCAGUUAUUCAGCAGCAGUCCCCAACCUUUUGAGCAGCAGGGACCGGUUUUGUGGAAGACAAUUUUUUCACAGACCGGGAGGGGGGCAUGGUUUUGUGAUGAUUUAAGUGCUUUACAUUCAAGCUCACCUCCUGCUGUGUGACCUGGGUCCUAACAGGCAUGGACAGGUCCAUUGCCCAGGGGUUGGGGACCCCUGAGUUAUUGGAUGGAUGAUAAAAAUAGGGAUUGAGUAAAUGGAUAACUGCCACGAAUAGUAUUGGAGUGUCUCAGAUAUGUCUUUAUUAUGAUCCGAGAGUGUGCUUGACUGGCUUGAAUGAGCACAAUCUAAGAUUGAUUGGGGUUAUCAACUUGGACUAAGAACAAAGAACACUCGUUAGCGUCCUGACGUCAGUCAGAGGGCCGGUGCUGUAGACCAGAUUGAAUUUUCCGAUGUAUUGGUGGGGGAGAUAAGGCGUGAGCAAGAGAUAAUUAACAUGUUGAGUGAGGGAGGUCAGAGGCUCAAUUAAAUGUCAAAGCAGAGACAGGACAGGAAGUACAUGGGCUUAGAGAAGGAAGAGGUGGGUCAGUGUUUAGAUACACACUGGGGUUUGCCAGGGAAGGCUUCACAGAUGCUGUUGUCCUGUGUCCGCAUUCUUCCAUGAGGGACUUAGGAGAUGCAGGUAUAUACAUAUGUGUGUUUGAGAAGUUUAACAGGUAAAUCAAAUCUUUUUCCUUACUACCACAAACUACCCACAGAUACACAUGCAGACACACACAGACACACACCAUACUAUACACAGACACACCACAGUUCUGCUUCACAGGCUCAUAGUUGGCAUGAGUCUGGAAGGGCCUGUAGAAAUUCCUCCCGAGAAAUUCCAUUUUCAUGUUGCUUGCAGGCAAAAGCAAAGACACUUGCCUCAGUCUCUAGACUCCCCCAGUGUCUCGAUCAUAAUGAUUUAUUUUGCCUCUGGAAACAACCUUCCCUGUUAGUUCUCCUGUUGUCAAAGAGCCUGUGUGAAGUGGACCUGACAAGGUUGUGGCAUUUUAUGUCAUUUCAUUAGUGAGGGUUUCUUUGCCAUUAAUGUCACCUUCACUCUAUCGCAGACCUUCCUUCCACACCCGGGUUCUCAUGUUGCUCUUAAUUGAACUAUUUAAAUAAACUCAAUUUUUAGCUUGCUUUUACCAAAAUCACUCUUAAUAACUGCUAUUAUCUCUUACAGUUACAAUAAUCACUUUGGCUCAGAGUGACUCACAACAUUAGCUCUCAGUCCAAUAAACCUUGACAAUCGUGUUUGGUGGAAGACGUGGUUGCUGUAAGUAAGGGAACAGCUGUGACGGCUUGGCCUGGUGGGUCACAGGUAUACUGACAAGUCAGGGAGGCUCAGGGCUUCCCAAGGAAAUAAAUGAAAGGUUGAAGGACCCCUCGCUGCGUCUUGAGAUUGGGAGGUAGUGCAGAAAAAAUUCUUUCAUUUUAUAGUCUCUGAACUCGGACUAUUUAAACUCAUCUCUGCCACCUAUAGGCCUUGUGUUCUUAGGCAGCUUUUGGAAGGUCCUGUGCCGCAACAUCCCCAUCUGUAAAAUGGGUGUGACACAAUGGAUACCUAUGCUCACAACUGUUUCAACAAUUUUCAUUUCUGAUUGACCUGUGCCCAAGCUGGUAGAUAUUUUGGCUACCACCCCAGGAUACAACCAUAUUUUCUGGUUUUUGUGUGAGGAUUAAGUGGGUCACCAGUACAAAGGCCUUAGCACUAUGCAAGGAAUGUGGGAAACACUUGCAAAUACUGGUUGCUGUUAUAAUUAUUCAUUUUUAUUAUUAUUUCUCAAGGGCUUCAGUGGGACUGUAAGUGGUAUCUGAUAAAAUCCUAUGCUAACUACUAAAUUGGGAUGAUUAGAACCACAGGAUUUUAUAGGUGAGGAAAUCAAGAUCAGCACAGUUGAAUAAAAAGCUAACAAGUCGCGAAGAUGGCAUUGAAUGUCAUCUAGUCAAAACUGAUCACUUCUCCAAGAAUAUAUUAAUAUGUCUCAGACCUUUUCAGAAAUCAAUCGAACUCUGUACCUGUUCAUAAUCUAUAUAGGAAUUUAAUUGCUGAUGUUCUAUCCAAAAUGUACACACAGAUUUUUCAGUGCAAAGGUAUAUAAAAUUCCAAGGUGUGAUCAUUAAAAACAGCUCUUUUUUUUUUUCAUUCUCUGUCUUUUUCACUAGGAUUUAAACUCCACAAGGACACAGAUUAUGUCUGGUUUCUUCAUUUCUAUAUCCUCAAUACCUAAAACAGCGCUUAGCACAUCAUUAAUGUGCAAUAAAUAUUUAAUGAGUGAAUAAAUGAAUCUUCAGACAUGCAGAAUGUAGCUGAAACAGAAAUAAAUUCUACAGAUAUAUAAAGAGAUUUGAAUAAAGCGAAAGAACUGACAGAUUUUUGGGUGGAAAGAGUUAACGUUGUAAAAAUGCCAAAUGCUCGAAUAACCUAUGAAUUCACAGCAUUUCCACUCAAGGAAAUUGACUUUUUGGUUUUGGAACUUGAAAAGUUAUUAUAAAUUUCAGCUGGAAGAAGAAAGAAAAACAGGAGGGGUUUUGCCCUGCCAAGCACGUGGGCGCGCCCACCAGAGUCAGCAGUGCAGUCAGCGGAAGGUGCAGGUUCAACCCCGGUGAUGUACAAAAACAUGAAAUGUUUUCUUCUCACUGACACUGUUAACUGCUCUGUUGAAUCUUCCUUUCUCGCUGGUUAGCAGCCAUUUUAAGCAUUCCAAUGAUUAAAACAGUCUAUUUUUAGUCUAGAUCAUUCUAAAGCCUUCAUCUCAAACUCUCACCUUCCACAGCCCCUUUGGUAUAGACUCAGUGUGUGGCCAU